UCUAGGAUAUAUAAUAAUGCUGUGAUUUCUGAUUUCAGUUGAUUUUGGUGUCAGUAAGAAGCUGAAGAACCAACAAGGUACCUGCAAAGGCCCAGCUGGUACACCUCAUUGGAUUGCACCAGAGGUUUGGUUCAGCGCAGCAUUUGAAACUGUAACAUAUGACUGCAAGUGUGACAUAUGGUCACUGGGGAUCACAGCCAUAGAGAUGGCAGAAGGAAAGUACCCAAUGCACUCUGUUGUACCUGAUGAAGUGUGCAAAAGAAUCCUGUAUGAUGACCCUCCCACACUAAGAUCUCCAAGCAAUUGGU